AGUAAUACAUCGGAACGUGCCCAGUAGUGGGGGAUAACCCGGCGAAAGCCGGACUAAUACCGCAUACGACCUACGGGUGAAAGCAGGGGAUCGCAAGACCUUGCGCUAUCGGAGCGGCCGAUGUCAGAUUAGCUUGUUGGCGGGGUAAAAGCCCACCAAGGCGACGAUCUGUAGCUGGUCUGAGAGGACGAUCAGCCACACUGGGACUGAGACACGGCCCAG
rnacentral:rRNA from 1 species